rnacentral:rRNA from 1 species
UCAGUCGACUCCUACGGGGAGGCAGCAGUGGGGAAUAUUGCACAAUGGGGGAAACCCUGAUGCAGCCAUGCCGCGUGUGUGAAGAAGGCCUUCGGGUUGUAAAGCACUUUCAGUAGGGAGGAAGGUAGUGUAGUUAACACCUGCACUAUUUGACGUUACCUACAGAAGAAGCACCGGCUAACUCCGUGCCAGCAGCCGCGGUAAUACGGAGGGGUGCGAGCGUUAAUCGGAAUUACUGGGCGUAAAGCGCAUGCAGGCGGCCUGUUAAGUCAGAUGUGAAAGCCCGGGGCUUAACCUCGGAAUUGCAUUUGAAACUGGCAGGCUAGAGUCUUGUAGAGGGGGGUAGGAAUUUCAGGUGUAGCGGUGAAAUGCGUAGAGAUCUGAAGGAAUACCAGUGGCGAAGGCGGCCCCCUGGACAAAGACUGACGCUCAGAUGCGAAAGCAUGGGGAGCAAACAGGAUUAGAUACCCUGGUAG